GUGCAAACAAUUGAUGGCGGUCUACUCUUAAAAUACAACGAACCGCUUCGUGUUCUUCUUGAAGUAUACUCUAACAAAGAAAAAUCAGGGUCGAACCUGAACUAGCAGAUUCGGAUGCAUUGAAAGUCAACAAAUUUUAUUGAAGCAAUCUCUCCUAAUUCUCUUAUAUGUGGGCACAAUUCUCUUCUCAAAUACUUAUUGGGUGCACUUGAGUUCACUCACUUAGUGCCCUUAACUUUCUUAUCUAAUUUAGUGUUAUUCGGAUAGAAAGAGGAUGUUGUUCUAAUGGAUAGGAAGUGCGAUCUCUUUCCUAUUUAUAGAUGUGAG
rnacentral:lncRNA from 1 species